UGAAAACAACCUAUGAUCAGUGUCCUCUCCACAGUCCCUGAAGACACUGACUCUAACCAUGGGAUGGAGCUGGAACUUUCUCUUCCUCCUGUCAGUAACUGCAGGUGUCCAUUGCCAGGUCCAGCUGCAGCAGUCUGGACCUGAGCUGGUGAAGCCUGGGGCUUCAUUGAAGAUAUUCUGCAAGGCUUCUGGCUACACCUUCACUGGGUAUACUAUACACUGGGUGAAGCAGAGGCCUGGACAGGGACUUGAGUGGAUUGGAUGGAUUUAUCCUGGAGAUGGUAGUACUUACUACAAUGAGAAGUUCAAGGGCAAGGCCACACUGACUGCAGACAAAUCGUCCAGCACAGCCUACAUGCAGCUCAGCAGCCUGACUUCUGAGGACUCUGCAGUCUAUUUCUGUGCAAGACACAGUGUUACAACCACAUCCGGAGUGUGUCAGAAACCUGGAGGAGCAGGAAGCUGCACUGGGACUGAGAUGACAGAAAGAUUAAUCCUUAGACUUGCUCAGAAUUUGUAAUUUUGAAUGUCCAUUUAUUACCUCCUCCUCAGAGUCUUAUAGUGCCUUUGUCAGCUUUGUAAAUGUCCAUCUAUGAGUAAAGUGAUGAUAUUUGGAUAAACCUAAAAUUCUUCAC